rnacentral:rRNA from 1 species
CCAAUAGCGUAUAUUAAAGUUGUUGCAGUUAAAAAGCUCGUAGUUGAAUUUCGGGAUUGACGUGAUGGUCGUGCCUUACGGGGUAUGAACUGUUGCUGUUGAUUUCUCACCUUCUGGAGAAACUUGAUGUCCUUAAUUGGGUGUCUUGCGGAUCCAGGACCUUUACCUUGAAAAAAUUAGUGUGUUUAAAGCAGGCAUUUUGCUCGAAUACAUUAGCAUG